rnacentral:rRNA from 1 species
CCUACGGGUGGCAGCAGUGGGGAAUAUUGCACAAUGGGGGAAACCCUGAUGCAGCGACGCCGCGUGAGUGAAGAAGUAUUUCGGUAUGUAAAGCGCUAUCAGAAGGGAAGAUAAUGACGGUAACUGACUAAGAAGCCCCGGCUAACUACGUGCCAGCAGCCGCGGUAAUACGUAGGGGGCGAGCGGUAUCCGGAUUCACUGGGUGUAAAGGGAGCGUAGACGGCCAUGCAAGCCAGGGGUGAAAGCCCGGGGCCCAACCCCGGGACUGCCCUUGGAACUGCAUGGCUGGAGUGAGGGAGGGGCAGGCGGAAUUCCUGGUGAAGCGGUGAAAUGCGUAGAUAUCAGGAGGAACACCGGCGGCGAAGGCAGCCUGCUGGACUGAGACUGACGUUGAGGCUCGAAAGCGUGGGGAGCGAACAGGAUUAGAUACCCUUGUAGUC